rnacentral:tRNA from 1 species
GCCCUCGUGGUCCAAAGGUAGAGGCACGGCGUUGAGGUCGUCGUAGUUGCGCGUUCGAAUCGCGUCGAGGGCA